GACGAACGCUGGCGGCGUGCCUAACACAUGCAAGUCGAGCGGAGAUAGACUGAUGGUAACUGAAGCUUAUCUUAGCGGCGGACGGGUGAGUAACACGUGGGCAACCUGCCUUGGAGUGGGGGAUAACACCGGGAAAUCGGUGCUAAUACCGCAUAACAUACACAAACUGCAUGGUAAGUGUAUCAAAGGAGUAAUCCGCUUUAAGAUGGGCCCGCGGCUGAUUAGCUAGUUGGUAAGGUAACGGCUUACCAAGGCGACGAUCAGUAGCCGACCUGAGAGGGUGACCGGCCACACUGGAACUGAGACACGGUCCAGACUCCUACGGGAGGCAGCAGUGGGGAAUAUUGCGCAAUGGGGGAACCCUGACGCAGCAACGCCGCGUGAGGAAGAAGGUCUUCGGAUUGUAAACUCCUGUCUUCUGGGACGAAGUAUGACGGUACCAGAGGAGGAAGCCACGGCUAACUACGUG
rnacentral:rRNA from 1 species